rnacentral:rRNA from 1 species
UACGAAGGGGGCCAGCGUUGUUCGGAAUUACUGGGCGUAAAGCGCGCGCAGGCGGCUCUUCAAGUCAGGGGUGAAAGCCCAGAGCUCAACUCUGGAACUGCCUUUGAGACUGAAGAGCUUGAGUACGGGAGAGGUGAGUGGAACUGCGAGUGUAGAGGUGAAAUUCGUAGAUAUUCGCAAGAACACCAGUGGCGAAGGCGGCUCACUGGCCCGAUACUGACGCUGAGGUGCGAAAGCGUGGGGAGCAAACAGG